rnacentral:sRNA from 1 species
UGGGUGGAGUGGGGUGAGAUCUACCUUAAAGGGUGAGCAAGAGAGAGCAAAGGGAGGGGCCAUCUUGGAAGAUAGGCAAGGAAGGGAGUGACAAGUGAAGGAAGGCACCAUCUUGGAAACUAGACAAAGAAGGGAGUUGAAAGUGGGAAGAGGCACCAUCCCAGAGAUGUGGCCAAGGAAGGGAAUGAGUGGUGGGCUAGGAGGUGAGAAGAAGGAUGUGGACAUGGGAAAUCUUGCUUGCAUAUAUGCUGCCCUAAGCUUCUCUAGGCCUCACAUACAGGUGCCUCCUUCUCUCAGACACCUAGUCCCACAUCCGGCUUUGCUCUAGACAUAUUUAUUCCUUCAUAAUAUAAUUGCCUUACUUUCUCAAGUAUCCUGUUUUAUAGUGUUAGGGACACCGAGGUAUCCGUUGUGUUUAAAAUGAAAAUGUCCAGAAAUGGCUAACUCCCCUGAUAAUGUACAACUCAGUCCAGGGUUUUGGUGAGGGAGCUGAGUAGAGAGUCCGCCAUCAGUGAAUCUCAAAGCACCAAUUCCCAUUCUACAUUACUGCUCCACAAUUACCCAAUGACUUUCCACAAGGCUGUUCUAGGUUCUAGACUCAAAACCCAGAUUGCAGUACAAGUACACUCUCUUCUCAGGAAAACAGAGAUGUGGCCUGUCUUGGAUUUUGGUGGAUGCUAAGAACAUUUGGAAAAUGUCAUUUAGAUGGUGACGUGUUGAAAUUCUCAGCAGGUCUCAGUGUAUAUGGGAGUAACAAGCGUAUUUGGAUAUAGAGCAAUUUUACAACCUUGGAGACGUGGUCACCAAAAUGAUAGGAUCCGUAACAUCACCUUCAUGAUGUCACCCAUGGCCUACACACCACACAGAGUCAUGGGUCCCUAGUAGGAUAUUCCUCCAAGCUAGCACCACACUGACCUCAGGGGCUGAAAAGAGACUUAGUACCUUUGGAGAUUGUAAACUGGAGAGCACCUAGGCAGCCCUGGAAAUGUUACCCGUACCAGACCCGAGUCAUUCUUUGUCACUUGUCCCCUCAGGGAAGACUACCAACCUGCCCACUGGGUCAAUAGAUGCUGUGUGCCCCCAAAGGGUCACAGUGAGUCUGAAAGCUAUUCUCUCCAAUGGGAUUCAUCUGCACAGUUGGUCCUUCUCAUUCUUACCGUGUCUCAAAGAAGAUGGCUGCAAGCUGUGUUUCUUCACAUGCCCUUUUCCUACUGACAAAUCUCAAUUCUGUUUUUAACCUUCUUGCAGAAUGUACACUGAGAUUUUCCUGGUUAAGGUACUGACUGCCCCGAUUCAGGGACCUCGGUUGAAGGGGCAGGUCGUGAGCUGUCACUGUCCUCCUUGGGCCUGCACAGGAACACGGAGCUGCAGUGCAGGCAGCACCUUUUCCAGGCCUCAGGGUGUGGCUACUCCCACCCACACAUUUGGGGAGUAAGCACUCCUUCCCCUGAGACUCUGUCUCUAGCCCAGCCAGGGAGAACAUCAUGUCUUUCUUAUAAGUUUGGGUUUUCUGUGGAUAGAAGGCUUUCAACGGGGCUUCUUCCCAGCAGUUUCUGCCCCAAGGUAGAGUUUUCCUACUAAAAAAUCACCUAUCAUCCAGAUAUUUAAUACGUCAGCCCCAACUUAACCGGACCCAGUGCUGAGAGGCAGCCUCAGCUAGUGUUGUGCUUUGAACACAAACCGUAGGCUCCUGUGUUAGAACACUGGGUCCCAAGCUGGUGGUACUCUUGGAAAGUAUUGAACCCUUAGGAGGUGGAGCCUCUGGAGGAAGUGGGAAGUGAGUCUGGCCCAAUGCCUCGUUUGCUCUCUGCUUCCUGAUUACAGAGAAGUGUGGCCUCUUCUGCCAUCACGAGUUCCCUACCAUGCCAUGCCUUUCCAUGGCUGGAAAACUCCAGUUUUCCCUCACCUGAAUCAUAGAGGAUAAGGGAUAGUUAUCCCAACUUGACAGUUUGUCCAUAACUUGUAGCCCUCAGCUCUUGGGCAAACCUUCCCACCUAUAGCCUUCACCCUCCCAAACUAAGCUGAGAUACCAAGAUGUCCACAGGGCGGGGCCUCAGUUCUGUUCCCUUCUGCUCUGGGGUUGGGGUUGGUGGACCCCCACAACACCUGAUGAUUUUCCUUUUUACUGAGAAGCCUGCAGUCAUCCCAGGGUUUAGUCCAGAAGCAUCACUGCUUGGAAGAAACCCAUACAGUAGUCAGGACAGGGCAGUGGCCCUUGGCAGCCAUGUGGCUUCCCGGCUCUUGCGGUUCAAAGGGCUCAUUGGUUCACCUACAAGUUCCUGGGAUGUCAGGCAGGGGUUCUGAUCUCUGCUUAUGGCUUCCUAUCUUGCUACUCCAGCUCCUAGAAACUGCCUCCUAUUCUCUGGCAUGAUGAACUGCCUUUGCUCAUUACCCAGGCUGCUUCUGGUCCUCACCCACACUCCUAGAGACAGCCUUAGGGUUCCCAGACCCAAACCUGCCUCUCCAGUGAAGAGGGAAAGGGAGACCCUUGGGGUCAGACUGUGGAGAAACAAACGCAUCUGGACUGUGGGAAGUGUAGGGCGUUUCCCUGGGCUAUGGCUGGCAGCAGUUUGCUGCAGCUUAGCUGUGGGCUUCAGGCCCAUCACAUAGUGCACGGAGCUAUUUUAGUCAAUGGUGACACAGUGGUUGGGCUUUUCUAAUCACCACAGGUGACAGAAAAAGCAUGGAAUUUGUCAGCUGGCCAAGACUCUGAGAUGACAUAAAGUCUUCAUGUGACAGGAUGGCCCAGAGGCCUAUAGAGGUGCUGUGACUUAUCCAGGUCAUCCUCUGAGUAGGACAGCCGAGGUCUGCACUGGGUACUUCAUCGUCUGGGCUGGCUCUAUCAAUCUGCCUCACAACCGUGAUGGAGGGGAAGCCCAGAAAAGUCACUUUGUCCUGUGCUCGCUAGUGAUUCCUAGAAACGCAUCAGCUUCCCCUGAGUCUCAUAGGUGAAGCGUGAUGUCUGCAACGCCCCCGCAGGGCACAGAUGUUCUGAGUGACAUCGGAAGUGAAUGCGCUGCUCUGCUGGGCUGUGGAAAGGUGAGCUCAGCAGCGGAGGAACGAACGCCUGGUGAGUCUGUCCACCGCCUGUGCAUCACCUAUUCACGUCUCAUUAAUAUUCUAUACGCAUUUCUAUUUCCAGCUGCUCAUUUAGUUCUCCAUCCAGAUUCACCUCUGGAACUCCCAACCACACCCCACCAUUGGAAUGGAUGCCAACGGAGAGUGGGACCAGAAACACUGUCUUUCACCUUGAGUCCUAGGGUGCCAGCAAUGGGACUACCCAAGUCCCGUGCAGAGAAAUGACCAGACUCUGAGGACUGGCUGGCGGUCUGUCUCUAUGGUGUGAAACUCAGCAUGAGCCAGAGGGAAGAUCAUGGUGGGGACUGUGGUGUGGUGGCAAAUGUGUCCUUCCCAGGCUGAGUCAGUAAGAAAGCCAACGUGAAGCUCUGCCGUCACCGGACCACAAGACCUCCCGGGAGAUCCGCUCUCAUUUCUCUCCUUAAACCUCACUAACAUCUCCUCGAAGAGAAGAAGCUGGCUGCCACCCAUGGCAGGAGGCAAGAGCAUCUGAAGCUGACUCCAAGUACCCACCAAGGUUCCUUCCACAUCCCAGGAUGGGAGGGGCUGGGGAGUUAGGACAUCAAGCCCUGGCAGCACUCAGUCUUCUGCAGUUCGCAUCUGGCAGGGAUCUCACCAUCCUCUACCCAGCAUCACAAGGACGGAGAGAGCUCAGGGUCCUGGGGACUGGGAAUCAUUCUUGGGUUUGUUUGAAAUGUUUUCUAAACAAACAGUCUGGUCACUCCUAGUUUUCAUGUACAUCUCAACUCCGCUUCAACUUAAACUUUAUUUGUAUAAAACCCA